rnacentral:sRNA from 1 species
CUGGAAUGAUGAUGAU